AUGGUUGAAGGUCUUAAUGUAGAUAUCAGCGUGGGCCUUGUACCAGGCAAUCACUGAAGGCAAGGCGAGCGAUUGGGAAUUAAGAAAGAAGAGACGGCAGUUCGAAGGAUUUUCAUUUCUUCUUUUUCUUCGAUCUCCCGCUCUCCUAUCCAUCUCUCACUUUGGGCGACCUUCCCCGUAAUGCUGGAGUCGGAAGAGAGACGAGGUGAAGCUCCUUCGUACGAUGACAUGGGAAAGAAGGCCUAUAAUGUAAGCCCUACAUGAUCACCAAGUUGAGGGAGAGUUGGACCGAGCAGGAUCACGACAUGUUCCUCGAGUGGAGGCCUUCCAGGCUCCAGCUGGAAAACCAGAUGGUGUAAAGCGAAAGGGAGGAACUUCUUCAAUGUAUGAUGACGACCUCGAAGAGGAACGACAUAAAUUUAUGAUGACAAAAUGACAUAGAUCAAUUAAGCAGGGAGGAAGAAUUGUCUGAUUAACAAACCGGCCAGUGUCAAAACUUUGAAGCAGAUAAAGUAUCAACCUGCAUUGUAUAAUCCUCCU